GAGAGGAACUCUCUCUUCUAUAUGAACUAUUUCCUGCCACUGAGAGGUCUUCGCAUAAUUUCUUAGCAAAAACUUCUCCAUGGAAAUCGUCACACUUCCAGAUGUAAAUAUGACUAAUCUACCUUUGAGUUGCAAAGAAAACUCUACUAGUAAAGAAAAAAUAAAGUUGCAGUGAUGUUGGCAUUGGGGGCUGGACAAUUUGUGGUUGUGGAGGUUGUUUUGUGUUAUUCGACAUCCUAUCUUCAGCACAGGAAAUGGCAAUCAUGACAAUAGCACCUCCCACUAGUUGUACCCUCACUAAGCUUCUAAAGUCUGGCUCCUUUGGGUAUCAGUGCUGCUAACUCCGAGCCUCUGCAUUCACUUGUGACCCUGGCUGAUCCUUGAAGAAUCGGGGAUUCAUUUUCUCGGUAAUUCUGUUUCAACUCCUGAAUGUGAGAGAUAAAGGAGCAACCUGCCCACUCAUAGCAGGACAGACUCAGCCUUUGCCCUCUGGACUACUCUUUUAGACUCAGGAUGAGUCUCUGCAUCUGCAUUCCUGAUAUAUCAAUACCAAGAAGACUGGUCAU